UACGGAGGGUGCAAACGUUGCUCGGAAUUAUUGGGCGUAAAGCGCACGUAGGCGGCCGAAUAAGUCGGGUGUGAAAGCCCAGGGCUCAACCCUGGAAGUGCACUCGAAACUGCUCGGCUUGAAUAUGGAAGAGGGUCGCGGAAUUCCCGGUGUAGAGGUGAAAUUCGUAGAUAUCGGGAGGAACACCAGUGGCGAAGGCGGCGACCUGGGCCAAUAUUGACGCUGAGGUGCGAAAGCGUGGGGAGCAAACAGG
rnacentral:rRNA from 1 species